rnacentral:tRNA from 1 species
GCCGCUUUAGCUCAGAGGUAGAGCACUUCCAUGGUAAGGAAGGGGUCGUGGGUUCAAUUCCCACAAGCGGCU